rnacentral:tRNA from 1 species
GGGACUGUGGCUCAGUGGUAGAGCAUGUUCUUUGCAUGCAGAAGUCCCCAGGUUCAAUCCCUGGCAUCUCCA